rnacentral:rRNA from 1 species
UACGUAGGGUGCGAGCGUUGUCCGGAAUUAUUGGGCGUAAAGAGCUUGUAGGCGGUCUGUCGCGUCUGCUGUGAAAAUCCGGGGCUCAACCCCGGACUUGCAGUGGGUACGGGCAGACUAGAGUGCGGUAGGGGAGACUGGAAUUCCUGGUGUAGCGGUGGAAUGCGCAGAUAUCAGGAGGAACACCGGUGGCGAAGGCGGGUCUCUGGGCCGUAACUGACGCUGAGGAGCGAAAGCAUGGGGAGCGAACAGG